GUGGGGACAGGUAACAGCAAGCAGAAGAUUGCUCAUAGAGAACUGCUCUCCUUGGGUACCCAACUCCAGACACUUCUCUGCUUCCAGAACUGCAUUCCUUGGGUAGCCAACUCCAGACACUUCUCUGCUUCUAGAACUGCUCUCCUUGGGUACCCAACUCCAGACACUUCUCUGCUUCCAGAACUGCUCUCCUUGGGUACCCAACUCCAGACACUUCUCUGCUUCCAGAACUGCUCUCCUUGGGUACCCAACUCCAGACACUUCUCUGCUUCCAGAACUGCAUUCCUUGGGUAGCCAACUCCAGACACUUCUCUGCUUCUAGAACUGCUCUCCUUGGGUACCCAACUCCAGACACUUCUCUGCUUCUAGAACUGCUCUCCUUGGGUAGCCAACUCCAGACACUUCUCUGCUUCCAGAACUGCUCUCCUUGGGUAGCCAACUCCAGACACUUCUCUGCUUCCAGAACUGCUCUCCUUGGGUAGCCAACUCCAGACACUUCUCUGCUUCCAGAACUGCUCUCCUUGGGUACCCAACUCCAGACACUUCUCUGCUUCCAGAACUGCUCUCCUUGGGUAGCCAACUCCAGACACUUCUCUGCUUCCAGAACUGCUUUCCUUGGGUACCCAACUCCAGACACUUCUCUGAUGCCUUUUUUUUACUGCUCUUUUGUAGCUUUGCUCUCUUGUUUCUAUUCAGUUUUGUCUUUCUGCAUGUGCAGCUUUCCCCCAGCUCAGUACAGGUCACUUCACUGCAUUUAAUACUUGUAUUUUGUUAGGAUCCUGCCUGGCUGAGCUUGUCCUGAGGGAUUUCACACACCUUGUUUUGUCUUUCAAAUCAGUGUUCUCUCCCCCCACCCUUUAGAGCCAGGAAAACAAAGUGAUUAAUUAGUGAGUUUAAAAGCUUCCACAGGUGGCAAACUGAAAGUUGGACCAAACUCAAAACACCUGAGCCUGGUGCAGUGAGACACAGCUGAGCAGUUCUCCAAACUCUUCCCUUUCUUUCCCUCAUCUGAAGGUGUCUGUUGCAGGAUCUUUUGCUGUUACAGUGUAAAAAGGGGGCUUAAAAGCUCUGCAUUGUGCAAUGUACUCCCCUUAACCAGGCACUGGGCAGGCUUCUGUGCUAUGUGGACUCUUUUACCAGUGCUGUGAUCCAGCUGAAAGUAAAUCCUAGAGGCUGAGGCUGGCUGCAGGGAGGAGUAAACCUCCUUUCUCUCUUCCUGUAAACUUAAAAGUGCAGCUGAGCCUUGAGAUGACUUUGGAAAAGCAGCUUUGGUUGCCAGGGUCACUGCUGUGAGGGUUGCAUGGUGCUGUGGCUCUGCCAGAAGAGGUGUGUGAGGUCACUGCCAAGUCAAAGUAGAGCCCUAAAGGUGUUGGGAACUCACUCUGCACUUGCCUCCCCAGCCCACUUUUAAGCAUUUCCUUCACACUACACUUGUUGGGAUGAAGAGGGGGGUGGGAAGAUUCACUUGGACCACCUAGGCUGAGGAAUGAAUGGACUGGAGAGCUCUGGCUGGCAGCUGGAGUCUGCUGGGCACUUACUGGUGGUCUUGAAGCACCUGAUACUUUAACUGAGAGGGUUAUAACCUACACUAAAUGCCCUGGGCCUGAGAAGCAGGAAUGAUGCUGAGCUGGGAGAGGGCAGUUGGGCUCUCCCCCAUGCCUUGCCGCAGCCUUCGGGGCUGGAGCAGCCCUUCCCCUCCCCUCUAUUUCAGCUAAAACAAAGCUACAGCCGUAACCCUUUGAUGUUUCCCUAAAGCAGAACUGCCCUUUUCCAGGAGCCAGCAGCCUUUUACCUGCUUCGCACUCCCUCGGGGCUUAAAACUAGACCAGCACUAAAACUCUUUGCAGCGGCUUGGCCGGGGAGGGGGGGAAGGAAGGAGCGAGCCCAGGUGCAGGUUGUGCUCCAGCCUCGCAGGAAAACCCGAACGAGCUUCCCCAGCGCCUAGAGCGAGUGCAAUAAGCAGCAGGACCGAGCUCAGCUGUUGGCUUUUAUUUGGGGUUGUUACUGUCCUUGGGUGUGUAUCGGAGCCGCGCGGUACUAACGCCCCCUGCCCGCACUCCCCGGUGGUGUAAGAGAGGCGGCUGCGAGUUCAGCCUUCGCCUGCCGGGCGCUGCACAAUAAAGCUGCUCUGAACGGCCUCUU